rnacentral:rRNA from 1 species
AGAGGUUCGAAGGCGAUCAGAUACCGCCCUAGUUCUAACCAUAAACGAUGCCAGCCAGCGAUCCGCCGAAGUUCCUCCGAUGACUCGGCGGGCAGCUUCCGGGAAACCAAAGCUUUUGGGUUCCGGGGGAAGUAUGGUUGCAAAGCUGAAACUUAAAGGAAUUGACGGAAGGGCACCACCAGGAGUGGAGCCUGCGGCUUAAUUUGACUCAACACGGGAAACCUCACCAGGCCCGGACACCGGAAGGAUUGACAGAUUGAGAGCUCUUUCUUGAUUCGGUGGGUGGUGGUGCAUGGCCGUUCUUAGUUGGUGGAGCGAUUUGUCUGGUUAAUUCCGGUAACGAACGAGACUCUAGCCUACUAAAUAGACGAUUUCCGGUAUCCACAAUAGUGCUACCGGCGAAAUCAAUAUCUUCUUAGAGGGACAGGCGGCUUUCAGCCGCACGAAACUGAGCAAUAACAGGUCUGUGAUGCCCUUAGAUGUCCUGGGCCGCACGCGCGCUACACUGAAGGAAUCAGCGUGUACACCCUGGCCGAAAGGCUCGGGCAACCCGUUGAACCUCCUUCGUGCUAGGGACUGGGGCUUGCAAUUGUUCCCCAUGAACGAGGAAUUCCCAGUAAGCGCGAGUCAUAAGCUCGCGUUGAUUACGUCCCUGCCCUUUGUACACACCGCCCGUCGCUACUACCGAUUGAAUGAUUUAGUGAGGUCUUCGGACUGGUGCGCGGCGGCCGCCUGCGCGGCCGCCGAUGCCACCGGGAAGAUGACCGAACUUGAUCAUUUAGAGGAAGUAAAAGUCGUAACAA